rnacentral:rRNA from 1 species
UAACGGUCCUAAGGUAGCAAAUUUCCUUGUCGUCUUAAUAACGACCUGCAUGAAACAUAGAACGAUUUGAUAGCUGUCUUGCACACACAUCAUGGUAAAAUAUUCAUCAGUACAAAUAAUAUGCUGCUGACACUAAAGGACAAAAAGACCCUUUGAAGCUUUAUAGGGAUAAAACUCAGCUUUAAAUCAACAAACAAUGAAAUCCAUCUUGUUACUUCUCCGCUUUUUAAAUUGCUAAAGCCUUACAAGAUUUACAACAUCAAGACCACUGUUUAAUUGGGGCGAUAACCUUAUCCACAGCCACCUAAGGUGAACAAAGCGAUACAAGGAUCCUAAAUACUAAUUUGACCAACUAAUAAGUGCAAAGAUACAUGUUUUGCUUAAUGGCCCAACAAGUCCUUCCCAGUACUUAAAUGCUAUCUUAAUGAGCUUUAAAUUA